rnacentral:piRNA from 1 species
UGUCCAAUCUGAUCCCAGGGUUUGCUGCC